ACUUUUAAAGGAUAAGAGUUAUCCGUUGGUCUUAGGAACCAAAAAAU
rnacentral:tRNA from 3 species